ACUGUCAGGUGGGCAGUUUGACUGGGGCGGUCGCCUCCCAAAAGGUAACGGAGGCGCUCAAAGGUUCUCUCAGUACGGUCGGAAAUCGUACGUAGAGUGUAAAGGCAAAAGAGAGCUUGAUUGCAAGACAUACAGGUCGAGCAAGGAUGAAAAUCGGACUUAGUGAUCCGGUGGUUCUGCGUGGAAGGGCCAUCGCUCAACGGAUAAAAGCUACCCUGGGGAUAACAGGCUUAUCUCCCCCAAGAGUCCACAUCGACGGGGAGGUUUGGCACCUCGAUGUCGGCUCAUCACAUCCUGGGGCUGUAGUAGGUCCCAAGGGUUGGGCUGUUCGCCCAUUAAAGUGGUACGCGAGCUGGGUUCAGAACGUCGUGAGACAGUUCGGUCCCUAUCCGUCGCAGGCGUAGGAAAUUUGAGAAGACCUGUCCUUAGUACGAGAGGACCGGGAUGGACGUACCUCUGGUGUACCAGUUGUCCUGCCAAGGGCAUGGCUGGGUAGCUAUGUACGGAAUGGAUAAGCGCUGAAAGCAUCUAAGCGCGAAGCCAACUUCAAGAUAAGAUUUCCCACCGCAAGGGUAAGACCCCAGAAAGACUAUCUGGUUGAUAGGUCGAAGGUGUAAGUGCAGCAAUGUAUUUAGCUUAUCGAUACUAAUAGGUCGAGGACUUGACCAA
rnacentral:rRNA from 1 species